GGCGGGGAGAACCAACAGGGAUUACCUCAGUAACGGCGAGUGAAGCGGUAACAGCUCAAAUUUGAAAUCUGGCCUCACGGUCCGAGUUGUAAUUUGUAGAGGAUGCUUCGAGCAUGGUCUGGCCUAAGUUCCUUGGAACAGGACGUCAUAGAGGGUGAGAAUCCCGUAUGCGGCCAGGUGCCUACGCUCAUGUGAAGCUCCUUCGACGAGUCGAGUUGUUUGGGAAUGCAGCUCAAAAUGGGUGGUAAAUUUCAUCUAAAGCUAAAUAUUGGCCAGAGACCGAUAGCGCACAAGUAGAGUGAUCGAAAGAUGAAAAGCACUUUGGAAAGAGAGUUAAACAGUACGUGAAAUUGUUGAAAGGGAAGCGCUUGCAACCAGACUUGCGCGCGGCCGAUCAUCCGGUGUUCUCACCGGUGCACUCGGCCGUGCUCAGGCCAGCAUCGGUUUUGGCGGCUGGAUAAAGGCCCUAGGAAUGUAGCUCCUCUCGGGGAGUGUUAUAGCCUAGGGUGCAAUGCAGCCUGCUGGGACCGAGGACCGCGCUUCGGCUAGGAUGCUGGCGUAAUGGUUGUAAGCGGCCCGUCUUGAAACACGGACCAAGGAGUCUAACAUCUAUGCGAGUGUUUGGGUGUCAAACCCAUACGCGUAAUGAAAGUGAACGGAGGUGAGAACCCUUAAGGGUGCAUCAUCGACCGGUCCUGAAGUUUACGGAAGGAUCUGAGUAAGAGCAUAGCUGUUGGGACCCGAAAGAUGGUGAACUAUGCCUGAAUAGGGUGAAGCCAGAGGAAACUCUGGUGGAGGCUCGCAGCGGUUCUGACGUGCAAAUCGAUCGUCAAAUUUGGGUAUAGGGGCGAAAGACUAAUCGAACCAUUGACCUGUAGGAACACUACUAGGUGGUUAAGAGGCGGCUAAAAGUGCCGUCUAGUCCCGACGCCGGGGCGACACUGUCAAUUGCGGGACAUCCUUAGAGCUAGACUACCGCAGCUUCCUGAAAGGGGGUGC
rnacentral:rRNA from 1 species